AUUGAACGCUAGCGGGAUGCUUUACACAUGCAAGUCGAACGAGGCGCGGACGGGUGAAAAGUAUAUCGGACAGUGCCCAAUAGCGGGGGAUAAAUACUCGAAAGUGUGGCUAAUACCGCAUAAUAUUGGAGCGGCCGAUAUGGGAAUCGCGAGUUGGUGGGGUAAAGGCUCACCAAGGCAACGAUCCCUAGCUGGUGUGAGAGGACGACCAGCCCCACUGGGACUGAGAAACGGCCCAUACUCCUACGGGAGGCAGCAGUGGGGAAUUUUGGGAAAUGGGGGAAACCCUGAUCCAGCCAUCCCGCGUGUAUGAGAAGGCCUUAGGGUUGUAAAGUACUUUUGGCAGAGAAGCGGGAUCUGCAGAAUAAGCACCGGCUAACUACGUGCCAGCAGCCGCGGUAAUAC
rnacentral:rRNA from 1 species